GAGGAAAGACAGCACUAUGCUGGGGACAAUGGGUUUGGAAAGAAAUGUUAUGAAACAAAUGUGGACUAAAGAAUUACUCUCCCACCAGCAUGGUUCUAUGGGAACCCAUUGGAUUGAGAAUAGGCACACACCAUCUCACAGACUUGAGAGAAGUGAAUGAAAUCUAGCAAGAGAACAAGUCAUCAUCCAAGAGAAAAAUGUGUACGCAAAAAGAACGAGACAGAACAGAAUUCCUGGUGAAGAUGAAGGAAAACGCUCACACCUGUUAUGGAUGCCAUAUGCAAUCAUCUGGAGCUGCUUCCAGAUGGAUUGCUGAAGAUGAAAGAGUUAAUGAAUUAGAUCUAAGGCAUACUGGUGGCAGCAAUUUCCUUGCAACAGUGGCUAAGAUCAUCUGUCAUGAAAUUUUCUG
rnacentral:lncRNA from 1 species